rnacentral:rRNA from 1 species
CAGGCCUAACACAUGCAAGUCGAGCGGACCAUUCCUUCGGGGAUGGUUAGCGGCGGACGGGUGAGUAACACGUAGGCAACCUGCCUGUAAGAUCGGGAUAACUACCGGAAACGGUAGCUAAGACCGGAUAGCUGGUUUCUCCGCAUGGGGGAAUCAUGAAACACGGGGCAACCUGUGGCUUACGGAUGGGCCUGCGGCGCAUUAGCUAGUUGGUGGGGUAACGGCCCACCAAGGCGACGAUGCGUAGCCGACCUGAGAGGGUGAUCGGCCACACUGGGACUGAGACACGGCCCAGACUCCUACGGGAGGCAGCAGUAGGGAAUCUUCCGCAAUGGGCGCAAGCCUGACGGAGCAACGCCGCGUGAGUGAUGAAGGUUUUCGGAUCGUAAAGCUCUGUUGCCAAGGAAGAACGCCUCGGAGAGUAACUGCUCUGAGGGUGACGGUACUUGAGAAGAAAGCCCCGGCUAACUACGUGCCAGCAGCCGCGGUAAUACGUAGGGGGCAAGCGUUGUCCGGAAUUAUUGGGCGUAAAGCGCGCGCAGGCGGUCUUUUAAGUUUGGUGUUUAAGCCCGGGGCUCAACCCCGGUUCGCACUGAAAACUGGGAGACUUGAGUGCAGGAGAGGAAAGCGGAAUUCCACGUGUAGCGGUGAAAUGCGUAGAGAUGUGGAGGAACACCAGUGGCGAAGGCGGCUUUCUGGACUGUAACUGACGCUGAGGCGCGAAAGCGUGGGGAGCAAACAGGAUUAGAU